rnacentral:rRNA from 1 species
UGGGGAAUCUUCCGCAAUGGGCGCAAGCCUGACGGAGCAACGCCGCGUGAGUGAAGAAGGGUUUCGAUUCGUAAAGCUCUGUUGUCGGGGACGAAUGUGGAGAUGGUGAAUAACCAUUUCUAAUGACGGUACCUGACGAGGAAGCCACGGCUAACUACGUGCCAGCAGCCGCGGUAAUACGUAGGUGGCGAGCGUUGUCCGGAAUUAUUGGGCGUAAAGGGAGCGCAGGCGGGAAGGUAAGUCUAUCUUAAAAGUGCGGGGCUCAACCCCGUGAGGGGAUGGAAACUAUCUUUCUUGAGUGCAGGAGAGGAAAGCGGAAUUCCUAGUGUAGCGGUGAAAUGCGUAGAUAUUAGGAGGAACACCAGUGGCG